GUGAUUAAAUCGAGCGUGUCUUCAUUGACCGCUCACCCUUCUCACCAUCCACAUACACCUGUGCACUGUUUAGCCUGAGCCGGUUUUCCGGUCCAGGUUAUCAUUCCAUACAAACUCUAGUCUUAUGAAUGUAAACGUUUUAAUAACAUAAUA
rnacentral:misc_RNA from 1 species